rnacentral:rRNA from 1 species
CCUACGGGGGGCUGCAGUGAGGAAUAUUGCGCAAUGGGGGAAACCCUGACGCAGCAACGCCGCGUGAGUGAGGAAGGUUUUCGGACCGUAAAGCUCUGUCGAGCGGGAAGAAGUGCAUGGUGGCUAAUAUCCAUUAUGCUUGACGGUACCGCUAAAGGAAGCACCGGCUAACUCCGUGCCAGCAGCCGCGGUAAUACGGGGGGUGCUAGCGUUGUUCGGAAUCAUUGGGCGUAAAGGGCGUGUAGGCGGCGAGGUGAAAGCCCUGGGCUUAACCUAGGAAGUGCAUUUGAAACUGUGCAGCUUGAGUAAGGGAGAGGAAAGUGGAAUUCCUGGUGUAGAGGUGAAAUUCGUAGAUAUCAGGAGGAACACCGGUGGCGAAGGCGACUUUCUGGCCCUAUACUGACGCUGAGACGCGAGAGCGUGGGUAGCAAACAGGAUUAGCUGGUAGUC